rnacentral:rRNA from 1 species
GUAUGUGCAAACGUUAUUCGGAAUCACUGGGCUUAAAGGUGCGUAGGCGGUUAAUUAAGUAGGGUGUGAAAGCUCUCGGCCUAACCGAGGAAUUGCGCUCUAAACUGAUUGACUUGAGGGAGAUAGGGGUGUGCGGAACUUCCAGUGGAGCGGUGAAAUGUGUUGAUAUUGGAAGGAACGCCGGUGGCGAAAGCGGCACACUGGGUCUCAACUGACGCUGAGGCACGAAAGCCAGGGUAGCGAACGGGAUUAGAUACCCCGGUAGUCCUGGCUGUAAACGAUGAGUACUAGACGGGAGGGGCCUCGGCCCAUCCGGUCGCAGCGAAAGCAAUAAGUACUCCGCCUGGGGAGUAUGGUCGCAAAGGCUG